rnacentral:rRNA from 1 species
GACGAACGCUGGCGGCGUGCCUAAUACAUGCAAGUCGAGCGAACAGACGAGGAGCUUGCUCCUCUGACGUUAGCGGCGGACGGGUGAGUAACACGUGGAUAACCUACUUAUAAGACUGGGAUAACUUCGGGAAACCGGAGCUAAUACCGGUUGAUAUAUUGAACAGCAUGGUUCAAUAGUAGAUGACGGUUUUGCUGUCACUUAUAGAUGGUUCUGCGCCGCAUUAGCUAGUUGGUAAGGUAACGGCUUACCAAGGCAACGAUGCGUAGCCGACCUGAGAGGGUGAUCGGCCACACUGGAACUGAGACACGGUCCAGACUCCUACGGGAGGCAGCAGUAGGGAAUCUUCCGCAAUGGGCGAAAGCCUGACGGAGCAACGCCGCGUGAGUGAUGAAGGUCUUCGGAUCGUAAAACUCUGUUAUUAGUGAAGAACAAAUGUGUAAGUAACUAUGCACGUCUUGACGGUACCCAAUCAGAAAGCCACGGCUAACUACGUG